GAAAUCUUGCUUUGAAAUUAUUGUGUCUAUUUUUGCAGCCAAUUGGUAAUGUUGUAUAAUACUAAGAAUUUCCUACAUCUAAUAUAAUACUUUAACUGUGAACUCUAAUCUAGUGCAUUUGCUACUUGGAAAAGAAUCCUAAAGCACCCAUGACAUAAAACGAAGGAAUUGUUAAGGACACAACUCCAGUCUUAGUAGCUAAUGUCCCCUUGUAGCUGGAAGAAUUGCCAGGGGAACAAAUUAUGGUCUACAUUAUCAUAUCUUCUAAUCCUUUGUUCCCAUAUUGGUAUUAUUGCCAAUCUGCGCAAUACGUCAAUACAGCACAAAGCCUAUAAUGUGAAACACAAUAAUCUGAAAAAAGACCCAUCCCUAUAAAACUAAUUUUGGAAAUCUAUUUGGCUACAAUCAUAAUAAGUACAAACUUGGAUAUCAUGGCUUAUCCUGCCUAUAAAUAUAUGAACAGAAGAGAACGUAGGCCAGAAAACAGCAUUCUUUUUCUCAGCCUCAUUGACAAAAUAGCUAUUAUAUCCAUGCAAAAAUGUAAUUGCUUGGGCUAAAUUGAUCAUAAGCAAGACUUUUAAAAGUUAGUUUAAAAUAAAUAUUACCAUUCUGUUACAUUGUAGCUUAAGAGUAAUAUGAACCAAGAACUGAUACAGGUAGUUCUUGACUUAUGACUGGUCACUUAGCAACUAUUCAUAGUUAUGACGGAACACCACCACCACCACCCCAAAAAAUUUGCAACUUGGAUUUCAAGUUUUGAUGGCCAUUCCCUCCCACUGUGUUUUGGGCACUUAGUAACCAGGCCACAUUUACAGCCAUUUGCAGGAUCCCACGGUCAUGUGACUGUGGUUUAUGGGUUUUCUGGGGUCCAGCAUUUACUUCCAAUUUCUGGCAAAAUAAAAUUUCCAUUUCAG